GAUGAACGCUGGCGGCGUGCCUAAUACAUGCAAGUCGAGCGAACGGACGAGAAGCUUGCUUUUCUGAUGUUAGCGGCGGACGGGUGAGUAACACGUGGAUAACCUACCUAUAAGACUGGGAUAACUUCGGGAAACCGGAGCUAAUACCGGAUAAUAUUUUGAACCGCAUGGUUCAAAAGUGAAAGACGGUCUUGCUGUCACUUAUAGAUGGAUCCGCGCUGCAUUAGCUAGUUGGUAAGGUAACGGCUUACCAAGGCAACGACGCAUAGCCGACCUGAGAGGGUGAUCGGCCACACUGGAACUGAGACACGGUCCAGACUCCUACGGGAGGCAGCAGUAGGGAAUCUUCCGCAAUGGGCGGGGGGGGGACGGAGCAACGCCGCGUGAGUGAUGAAGGUCUUCGGAUCGUAAAACUCUGUUAUUAGGGAAGAACAUAUGUGUAAGUAACUGUGCACAUCUUGACGGUACCUAAUCAGAAAGCCACGGCUAACUACGUGCCAGCAGCCGCGGUAAUACGUAGGUGGCAAGCGUUAUCCGGAAUUAUUGGGCGUAAAGCGCGCGUAGCGGUUUUUUAGUCUGAUGUGAAAGCCCACGGCUCAACCGUGGAGGGUCAUUGGAAACUGGAAAACUUGAGUGCAGAAGAGGAAAGUGGAAUUCCAUGUGUAGCGGUGAAAUGCGCAGAGAUAUGGAGGAACACCAGUGGCGAAGGCGACUUUCUGGUCUGUAACUGACGCUGAUGUGCGAAAGCGUGGGGAUCAAACAGGAUUAGAUACCCUGGUAGUCCACGCCGUAAACGAUGAGUGCUAAGUGUUAGGGGGUUUCCGCCCCUUAGUGCUGCAGCUAACGCAUUAAGCACUCCGCCUGGGGAGUACGACCGCAAGGUUGAAACUCAAAGGAAUUGACGGGGACCCGCACAAGCGGUGGAGCAUGUGGUUUAAUUCGAAGCAACGCGAAGAACCUUACCAAAUCUUGACAUCCUUUGACAACUCUAGAGAUAGAGCUUUCCCCUUCGGGGGACAAAGUGACAGGUGGUGCAUGGUUGUCGUCAGCUCGUGUCGUGAGAUGUUGGGUUAAGUCCCGCAACGAGCGCAACCCUUAAGCUUAGUUGCCAUCAUUAAGUUGGGCACUCUAAGUUGACUGCCGGUGACAAACCGGAGGAAGGUGGGGAUGACGUCAAAUCAUCAUGCCCCUUAUGAUUUGGGCUACACACGUGCUACAAUGGACAAUACAAAGGGCAGCGAAACCGCGAGGUCAAGCAAAUCCCAUAAAGUUGUUCUCAGUUCGGAUUGUAGUCUGCAACUCGACUACAUGAAGCUGGAAUCGCUAGUAAUCGUAGAUCAGCAUGCUACGGUGAAUACGUUCCCGGGUCU
rnacentral:rRNA from 1 species